rfam:Triticum aestivum genome assembly, contig: Triticum_aestivum_CS42_TGACv1_scaffold_485511_6AS
AGACUACUCCUUCCAUUCCAAAUUAUUUGUCGCGGGUAUGGAUGUAUCUAGAUGUAUUUUAGUUUUAGAUACAUUCAUUUUUACGACAAAUAAUUUAGAACGGAGGGAGUACUCU